UGGAGGGGGGAAAACAGCUAGCGUUAGCUGGCUAAUCCAAAACAAACGAGGCUUCGGCGGCAGCGACGGAGUUGGGAAAUUUACCCCCCGAAAAUACGCGCAAAGUGACCGUCCUGUUUGCUACAGUCAGAAGAAAAUGAGGUUCCCCCUCUCCGUCUCUUUUUCUGAGUCUCUCCACCAGUAAACAAGUCCUGCCAGUCACCUCAGCUGGGCCGCACGUGGUCGGUGGGAAAACCCGGCCCGGACCACCGAGGCGCCGCUUCUUUCCCUGGAGUCAGGAUCCGGAGUGAGCGAGGAACAGCGGCGCUCUUUGUCAGGGAGGACGCCGAGCCCCCCCGCCGCAAACUGGACCAGCAAAUACAAAGAAAAUAUGCAUUACAUUUAUUUAUAUUUGACAGUAAAUACAAAUGAAAUAUGUUUUACA